GUGUAUAUAUGUGUAUUUAUAUAAAUGUGAAAAAUAUAUAUGCAAAUGCAAACAUUUUCUGACAUUAUUUAGCAUUUUGUUAUUAAUAUCUUCUAUCAUAUAUAAUGUUUCAAUUUUGCUCUUCUUACAGCCUUUUUAAAAUGACAUGUUUAAUAAGUCUGUAUAAGACUAUAAAUCUAUCUUUUAUUAUCAUUAUUGCUAUAUUAUUAUUAAAGGAGUAAUAGACAGGCUUAAUCAUUGAACUGGGAAAUGAAACAGAUAAUGAGAUCCAGUGACCCGUGAGCUACUACAGUUUUAGUUGUAGGUUUAAGUGGAGGAAGGACUGGAACAAAAAGCAAGAAUAUGUCAAGUUGUCAUCGUCUCAGGUCUGCGUCUUUAAGUGGCCCAAUCAGAUAUCGCUAAAAGCCAGGGCUGGUGAUGCACAACUCUAAUUCCAGCACUCAGGAGGUAAAGGCAGGUGGAUUUCAAGGAGUCUGAAGGCCAGCCUGGUCUAUAUAAUGAGACUCUGUAUAAAAAAUAAAAAAUGCAUUUUUAUAACUUUCAUUGUCCGGGACCAAUCUGACUCCUGAAUGAUGAUGUCCUCAGGGUGUGGCCUCACUAUCCUAGAUAACUGUCCUCAUUUCAAAGAGGAGAGGUCUGUUCUUAGGACUUUGUUGACCCUGGUGUCCAGGGUGACUACAGGGUUAGGACUUAUCUCUGUGCCUUCAGCCUUGAAGAGGAACGAGAAGGUCAACUGAAUAGUUACUCCUUGAGUGAUUAUCAUGCCUACGCAGAACAAGCAGGAGUCUGCUCCAAAGCAGAGGAAACAGAAAAUGAACUGAGAAAACUGAGAAAGGAGAAAGGGAUGGUCAGUGGUGUAAGUGAAAAGUGAUCAAUGUUAAAGCUGAAAGAAUCAGAGCACAGCAUGGAGCCACAGCCAGAAGCAUCCAACAAAAUCAGCUGCAUGUGGGUCCUGUUUUGUUUUCAUAGAUCCAUGAGUAUGGACCAUGGAGAACAUGUUUAGAGUUUUCUUGCCUCUGCUUCAGGAGAGGAACUGAAUGAUAUGAAGUAUACUGGAAGGAGUUUAGUUCUGAGAACCCAAGCUCAGUUCCUAUCAACAACACAGGUAGCUCACAAUUGCCUAGACCUCCAGCUCCAGGGGAUCUGAGGCUUUCUUCUGGAUUCCAUGCAAUGGCAUACACUCACACAGACACACGGCAAUUUGUCUUCCACAUGUCCUCCCCAUAUCUAAUGAGUUCAGGAAGCAUCGCCUUCUCUAUCUGAGGCAGUGUUGCUGGAAGAAGAGAAAGACAAGGGAGAGUUUCCUACAGGUUUGUCACUACUGCAGCUUGAAAUGACUCAUAUCUCUCAGGACACAUCAUGGCCUCACCCAAUGACAUAGUGACUAAGAAACCUGAGGUGACCUGUAGACCAUUUGGACAUUGUUGUGUUAUUGAGCAACUGCUGUAGUCCAUGGCAACCUGUCCUGAAAGAUAAUGUUGUGUUACACAAGUGCCCACCAUCUCAUUGGUCUUUUUCAGGCCAUGCUGGGUAUCUCUGCAUUGUGAAACACAUACAAUAGUUUUCUCAUUCUUCUCCUUCCUCCUCCAUUUCUUUCUUCUCCUCUUCACCUUUCCUCCUCAUCCACCUCAUUCAUCAUCAUCAUCAUCAUCUGUUCUACACCUACUACAGUCUCUAGCUCACAACUUUAGGUCUUAUUAGUUGGGAGCCAAUUAAAAAUUAUUAAACAAAUCUCCAAAGCGUGUUUCCCAGGGACUAUUCCAAGAACAUUCAUUCUUUCAGAUAUUAAUAGGCAUUCUGAGAAACAGCUUUGUUGUCAAGUAAAUGAAUCCUGGCAUCUAACAUGUAUUUUUACCACAGUAUGCUUUAAAGAAAUAUGCUGUUGGAAGGGUUUCCAAAGGGUGCAUCUGGAAGGAGGGUGCUAGACAGUCAAGUUAUUGUCCCCAAGCCCCAUUGAAGUGACCAGCCCCCCCCCCUUCCAUUUUAGCAGCCAUGACAGGCUAACAUGUGCUUGCUACUCCU